UCAAGUCGAAAAGGGUGUACGGUGGAUGCCUUGGCACCAGAAGGCGAUGAAGGGCGUGGUUAACUGCGAUAAUCCCUGGGGAGCCGUAAGCAGGCCUUGAUCCAGGGGUGCCCGAAUGGGGAAACCCACCAUAGCAAACCUAUGGUAUCCUUACCUGAAUAAAAUAGGGUAAGGAGGCGAGACGGGGGGAACUGAAACAUCUAAUUACCCCCAGGAAGAGAAAGUAAUAACGAUUCCCUAAGUAGCGGCGAGCGAAAGGGGAAGAGCCUAAACGGUAAGAGUGUGAUAGUCGGUAGACGUUGCUCUUGCCGGGUCGUGGGACCUGAUCUGAUUCUACUACCGUAAGAAUCAAAGAGUUAAAAAGUCUUUUUCUAGCCGAAGUGAUAUUGGAAAAGUCCACCAUAGAUGGUGAUAGUCCAGUAGGCGAAAGGGAAAGACCUCUUCAUCAGGCACCCGAGUAUCACGGGAUAAGGGAAGCCCUGUGAGAAUUUGGGAGGACCACCUCCUAAGGCUAAAUACUAACUGGUGACCGAUAGUGAACUAGUACCGUGAGGGAAAGGUGAAAAGUACCCCGGAAGGGGAGUGAAAUAGUACCUGAAACCGUAUACCUACAAGCAGUGGGAGCACUAUUUUUUAAGAUUUAUCUUAAAGAUGUGUGACCGCGUGCCUUUUGUAGAAUGAGCCGGCGAGUUACGAUACCUAGCCAGGUUAAGCAGCAGCUGCUGCGGAGCCGUAGCGAAAGCGAGUCUUAAAUAGGGCGUCAAGUUAGGUGGCGUAGACCCGAAACCGGGUGAUCUAACCAUGGCCAGGGUGAAACAGGUCUAAUCACCUGUGGAGGCCCGAACCCACCAGUGUUGAAAAACUGGGGGAUGAGCUGUGGUUAGGGGUGAAAGGCCAAUCAAACUCGGAGAUAGCUGGUUCUCCUCGAAAUAGCUUUAGGGCUAGCCUCAAAUGUUUUCCUAUGGAGGUAGAGCACUGAAUGGACUAAGGGCCCUACAAGGUUACUGAACCCAAUCAAACUCCGAAUGCCAUAGGUUUAUAGUUUGGGAGUCAGACUGCGGGGGAUAAGCUCCGUAGUCAAAAGGGAAACAGCCCAGACCAGCAGCUAAGGUCCCCAAGUGCAAGCUAAGUGUGAAAGGAAGUAGAAUUACCGAGACAGCCAGGAUGUUGGCUCAGAGGCAGCCAUCAUUUAAAAAGUGCGUAACAGCUUACUGGUCAAGUGAUUCUGCACCGAAAAAUGUACGGGGCUAUAAGCUUGCCACCGAAGCUCUGGAUCCAGAAUUUAUUCUGGGUGGUAGAGGAGCGUUCCCUUACCGGGUGAAGGAUAACCGUAAGGAUAUCUGGACGGAAGGGAAGUGAGAAUGCCGGCAUGAGUAACGAUAAGGAGAGUGAGAAUCUCUCCCGCCGAAAACCUAAGGUUUCCUGGGGAAGGUAAAUCCGCCCAGGGUUAGUCGGAACCUAAGCUGAGGCCGAAAGGCGUAGGUGAUGGACAACCGGUUAAUAUUCCGGUACUACCAGAUUAUCGCUACAAGUGAUGGGGGGACGCAGUAGGGUAGGUCAGCACGAUAAAAGUUACGUGUCUAAGCCCGCAAGGGAGGAGAUAGGAAAAUCCGUCUCCUUUUAAAACCCUAAGAGGUGAUGGGGAGCUGCUACGGCGGCGAACUGAUUGAUCCCACACUGCCAAGAAAAGCCUCUAAACAAGAUAACCUGGUAUCCGUACUAAAACCGACACAGGUAGGUAGGUAGAGAAUACCAAGGCGCUCGAGAUAACCCUCGUUAAGGAACUCGGCAAAAUGACUCCGUAACUUCGGGAGAAGGAGUGCCCCAUUAGGGUGACCCAAUUUACUUGGUUAGCCUGAAGGGGUUGCAAAGAAACGGCCCAAGCGACUGUUUACUAAAAACACAGGUCUCUGCUAAAUCGAAAGAUGAUGUAUAGGGACUGACGCCUGCCCGGUGCUGGAAGGUUAAGGAAGGGGGUUACUCUCACCUCAGGUGAGGGGAAGCUUCUGACCGAAGCCCCAGUAAACGGCGGCCGUAACUAUAACGGUCCUAAGGUAGCGAAAUUCCUUGUCGGGUAAGUUCCGACCCGCACGAAUGGCGUAACGAUUUGGG
rnacentral:rRNA from 1 species